rnacentral:tRNA from 2 species
UCCUGGUCAGCUCAGUUGGUAGAGCGCUCCACUGGAAAUGGGGAGGUCCCUGGUUCAAUACCAUGACCAGGCG